rnacentral:rRNA from 1 species
AGCUCCAAUAGCGUAUAUUAAAGUUGUUGCAGUUAAAAAGCUCGUAGUUGAAUUUCGAGAUCGGCUUACUGGUCGUGCUUUUGUACGUACUGGUAUAAUCGGUUUCUCCUUUCUGACGAACUUUAAUGCCAUUAAUUUGGUGUUUUAGGGAAUCAGGACUGUUACUUUGAAAAAAUUAGAGUGUUUAAAGCAGGCUCACGCUUGAAUACAUUAGCAUGGAAUAACGGAAUAGGACGUUUGAUUCUAUUUUGUUGGUUUCUAGGAUCGACGUAAUGAUUAAUAGGGAUAGUUGGGGGCAUUAGUAUUCAAUUGUCAGAGGUGAAAUUCUUGGAUUUAUUGAAGACUAACUACUGCGAAAGCAUUUGCCAAGGAUGUUUUCA